UAGCUGUUGAGUCCCGUUCAGAAGUGGA
rnacentral:sRNA from 1 species